AUUGAACGCUGGCGGCAUGCCUUACACAUGCAAGUCGAACGGCAGCACGGGAGCAAUCCUGGUGGCGAGUGGCGAACGGGUGAGUAAUAUAUCGGAACGUGCCCGGUCGUGGGGAUAACGUAGCGAAAGCUACGCUAAUACCGCAUACGAUCUACGGAUGAAAGCGGGGGAUCGCAAGACCUCGCGCGAUUGGAGCGGCCGAUAUCAGAUUAGGUAGUUGGUGAGGUAAAGGCUCACCAAGCCGACGAUCUGUAGCUGGUCAGAGAGGACGACCAGCCACACUGGGACUGAGACACGGCCCAGACUCCUACGGGAGGCAGCAGUGGGGAAUUUUGGACAAUGGGCGCAAGCCUGAUCCAGCAAUGCCGCGUGCAGGAUGAAGGCCU
rnacentral:rRNA from 1 species